rnacentral:rRNA from 1 species
UACGAAGGGGGCUAGCGUUGCUCGGAAUGACUGGGCGUAAAGGGCGCGUAGGCGGCUCAUAGAGUCGGGCGUGAAAUUCCUGGGCUUAACCUGGGGGCUGCGGUUCGAUACCUGUGGGCUAGAGUGAGGAAGAGGGUCGUGGAAUUCCCAGUGUAGAGGUGAAAUUCGUAGAUAUUGGGAAGAACACCAGUGGCGUAGGCGGCGACCUGGUCCUUUACUGACGCUGAGGCGCGAAAGCGUGGGAGCAAACAGG